CCUACGGGUGGCAGCAGUGGGGAAUAUUGGUCAAUGGGCGAGAGCCUGAACCAGCCAAGUCGCGUGAGGGAGUACUGCCCUCUGGGUGGUAAACCUCUUUUGUCGGGGAGCAAAAGCCGGACAUUUCCGGCUGUGAGAGUACCCGAAUCAAAAGCAUCGGCUAACUCCGUCCCAGCGGCCGCGGUAAUACGGAGGAUGCGGGCGUAAUCAGGAUUUGUUGGGUUUAAGGGUUGCGCAGGCGGAUUUUUAUGUCAGCGGGAAAGUCGUGGGGCUCAACCCCAUCCAGCCGUGGAAAUUGGGGGUCUAGAGUGCGCGAGAGGAGUGCGGAAGGCGAGGUGUAGCGGUGAAAUGCAUAGAUAUAAGGCAGAACCCCGGUGGCGAAGGCAGCACACCGGUGCACAACUGACGCUCAGGCACGAAAGCGUGGGGAGCGAACAGGAUUAGAUACCCUGGUAGUC
rnacentral:rRNA from 1 species